GCGGCCAAUGUAGUCAGUCUGGGGACCCACCUCCCCCUUUCAGCUGAGCGCACACAACACAGCAUCCACGUGAGUCAGCUUCUUAAAGGCGAAGGCUUGGCCUGUCUAAUUGCGGCAGCUGCGAGACAUCGCACGUCAUUAGCGUCACCAGGUAGCGGCUGGAGCCGAGCUUCCUGAUACCUAGUGAGCCGCGGUGAUGACAAAUGAAAACAAUAAGCUGUUUCCUAGACAAACAGCUGCCUAGUUUCGCUCUGUCGCCCAGGCUGGAGUGCAGUGGCACAAUCUCGGUUCACUGCAACCUCUGCCUCCCGGGUUCAAGCAGUUCUCUUGCCUCAGCCUCCCAAGUAACUGGUACUACAGAGAAUUGAUACAAAAAAUGAUCAUGUGAAGAAUUUGCAUCUUCUGCAGAACUACCGGUAUCAGUCAGCAGUAGGAGAUUGUAUAAAUUCAGCCUGAGAUUCCAGAAUAUUCUGUGUAUUGACCACCACAGCAAGAAGAAAAAGUCCAUGUAGGACUGAAAUGAGGAAGAAUGAGAAGGAGUUGAUUUCUGCUGAAUCCAGGAGAAAGAGCUUUCCUCACUACUAACAAGACAGAGGUGUUGAACGAGAAAUGGAAACUCAUUUCCCCCCUCAGUUUUUUUCUUUCUUGCGUACUUUUCCAAUGCCACUUCCAAAUUCAUAGUGAAUAGCAUGAUUAGGAGGUUUUCACAUGGCCCUCUCUGUUUUUUAUUCCUCUAAAUGAUUUUUAAAGUUGUCCAAGGUGAAAACUUUUGUGUGCUUUAUUAGAAAACAUUAAUUACUUACCAAGACACUGUGCUAAGUAGCUUUCCACACAUGACCUCAUUUAAUCCUCAAAAGAACUCUGUGAAUUAGGUUAUCAUGACUACCUCCAAUUUACACAGCCCGGAAGUGUGGGAGCUGGAAUUAAAACAGAGGCAUAUCACCUAGGACUUCAGGGCCCAUGCUCUCUACCACCUCCCAGUUCAUUGAGAGUGAGGAUAAACCUAACUGAUGAGCCUGCUGUGGGGGUCUGGAUUCAUGGUAUAGUGCCUCCCCCACCCCCGAUCCCCCACCUAGCCAAGGUUUUAUUGUGGAAACCAAGGUGAACAGAAAAGGCUGAUCAGAAUGGUCAGAGCCAGACAACCCCACAGAAGUGCAGCACGUUGAUUUCUGACUAUUUAUACAACCCCAUAGGACACUCCCCAUUCACUGAGGCUGGCUGGUGGGAGACAACUCUUAAGUGUAAGAGAAAGAUGCACGUUGGCUAGCAGGGAGCACUUCAUCAUCAUGAUGGAAGGAAGACCACUCAUUAACUUGUUGGACUUGUGGACCACUUCUUGCCUCAUGUUGACCAAAACCAUGUGAAUAGGUUUUUAGCUGUAGCUGCUCCUUAGCCCUCAGAGUUCUGGGAAUAGUAGAGACCCUGGAACUAGUGUUGAAGGAAGUGCCCUGCUUUCCAUCCCCUAUGCACUCAGACCAUGAGAGCAGCUCUUCCAUGAUAUAAAAAUGUGAAGACGUUACAUAUGUACUCCAUUAAAUUGAAUCAGUGUCCUCUUAACUUACGUGUGUUUGAUGUGGCCUUUUCAGUUCGUAAGCACCACCCAUGCUUUGCAUAUAUGUAGGGACAUAAAGGCAAUUAAAUUGUAGUUCUCAACCCGGUGCACAUAAGAAUCACUUGUAAAGCAUGGAAAUGCCCAGGUCCUACCCCAGACCAAUUAAAUCAGUGUCUCUGGGCAUGGGGUCCAAACAUCAGGAUGUGCUUGAAGCUUUCCAGGUGAUUCUAAUGCGAUGCUUUCCAGGUGAUUCUCAGCUGGUUCUAAGAAUUGCUGGAUGAAAGCUAAGUCAACUGUGAAAAUGUGCUAACAAACCGUG
rnacentral:lncRNA from 1 species